GACGGAGGGGGCUAGCGUUGUUCGGAAUGACUGGGCGUAAAGGGCGCGUAGGCGGCUUAUCAAGUCAGGUGUGAAAGCCUUGGGCUCAACCCAAGAACUGCGCUUGAUACUGAUAAGCUUGAGGAUGAUAGAGGAAAGCGGAAUUCCUAGUGUAGAGGUGAAAUUCGUAGAUAUUAGGAAGAACACCAGAGGCGAAGGCGGCUUUCUGGAUCAUAUCUGACGCUGAGGCGCGAAAGCGUGGGGAGCAAAC
rnacentral:rRNA from 1 species